rnacentral:rRNA from 1 species
UACGGAGGGUGCAAGCGUUAAUCGGAAUUACUGGGCGUAAAGCGUGCGUAGGCGGUUCGUUAAGUCUGUUGUGAAAGCCCCGGGCUCAACCUGGGAAUGGCAAUGGAUACUGGCGAGCUAGAGUGUGUCAGAGGAUGGUGGAAUUCCCGGUGUAGCGGUGAAAUGCGUAGAGAUCGGGAGGAACAUCAGUGGCGAAGGCGGCCAUCUGGGACAACACUGACGCUGAGGACGAAAGCGUGGGGAGCAAACAGG